CAACGGUGACAUACUUUGAAUGGAAUCUAUGAGUAAGUCCCAAAGCAACCACAGACUGAGAAGCCCAUCCUUUCUCUAUGAACAGGUGGUUAAGCACAACAUGUUGAGGCUUCGAGGACGAAGCUUCGUCAGCAUUCUCCAUACCUAGAACCGUGAGGUGCAGUUGCGAUGGUACUGCUGCUGGCUCCUUGGCGAAGUCUUCCUCGCUGGGGAAUGUCUGGCUGUAAGUCGUCUCUGGUGAUUGUGGAGGCUCGAACUCGGCCACACUCUGUAGAAUAUCAGGCACACUAUCAGAAACAUUGAGAAGAUUAAAG
rnacentral:misc_RNA from 1 species